AGCUUGGAUCCUACCACCUCAUGUAGCAAGACGUUAUACAAUAUGAAGAAACAAUGCUUUGCAACAAGUGCUUGAAGUGAAUUAAUAAUCUGGAUUUCAAGGAGCAGUCCCCACUGAUGUUUGUGAUGUAAGUGCAGCUGUGUCUGGAGCUCUGGACAAGAGGUGCUGUGAAGAAGGAGUUCUCCUCCUUCAGUGGCAGAACAGGGAGCUCUGGGUUGCUGGUGAGCUCUCUGGGUGCAGAGAGCAGCCCAAUCCUGUUGGCUGAGCACGUUCUUCACCCAGCAAAGACGCCGGGUUAAGUGGAUUAUCUGCAUGGCUCCAGGUAUUGAGGUAAACCUCAGCCUCUCAGGCUGUGGUGUCAUGAGGCAAGGUGAGCUGAUCUAGUAGUUUACCACUGCUGAAAGGAUAAUCUUGUUUCUUUGCUCCCAGCUAACACACCCAGCACUUUCUGUGUGUUAUCUAGCCCUUGAGAGUCCACUUUAACCUGUUCACCCUGUAGGAAAAGGACAGGAUUUUCUUGAGUUAACAAACAGAAUUGAUUAAUGAAAAUGGGUAAUUAGUGCUGUGGUUGGGCAAGUAGAAAGGGUGGGACCAUAACAAAGAAGGGAGGAAUGGCAUAAAAGAAAAUGGAAACAGAAUCUUACCCUUAUUUGCUUUUUUGUUUUUCUCAGAUUCUUGUGAAACUACACCAUGAGAUACAGCCCUGAUUUAUCUGAGAAGGACCUAAGGUGACACUUCUUAGCAGGACAUUCUUGGAGAGAGGAGGAGCCAGAGGAAGACACUGCAGGUUGUGCAGUCAGCCUCCCGAACAUGGCAUUGAAAAUGUAAUUCCCACUUUCAUAGCUGGCAUGGCAGAUUUACCCCACUGAAGUUCCUCAGAAGUCCAGCAUGCUGGAAAAUGCACAGUUCUGGGAGAAGGACUGCCAGCAUUACCAUGGAAACCCCCAAAAAUAAAGACUUUCCCUGCCUUAUGAGAGUACACCUGCAAGAGCAAGAACUGCCUAUCAAAAGUGACUUCUUCAUUAUGGGUGUCACCUAAGGACAUUUUGUGCGGACUGGAGCUUCCUGUUGUACAAAUGAAAACUUUUCCCAAAGAAGUCUGGUGUUUGUAAGAAGAGAUCUUUCCAAAAGUGCACAGGUACUAUCAACAAGAUACAAGACUAGUGAAGUAAUUUUUGCUGCAUUUACAAUUCAACUAUGAAAUUUCUGGAUGUUUGCAGUCAAUAAGGAUUUGUGUCACAAGAGAAAUGUUUUCCCAACAAAUGCUGAUUCAAAUGUUAUACAUUCCCACUGCUUCAAUUUUUGCUGUAGGCUAAGUAGAUGAUUAUUUAGUGUUGCUACAAAGCUGUCAUAUUACUUAUGCUGCUCACCAGAGAGGUGGUUGUGUUUCAGCAUUAGGCAGGGAGUGUUCUGUGUGUACAUCUGAGCCC